GUUCCUGUAGUUAAACGUUUGUAACAAUGGCUUUUCAGGCCAUAGAUCCUGGAGAAAGGCCGGGCGGGAAUU
rnacentral:tRNA from 1 species